CUAGACUUGACAUACAGAUGGUAGUGAGGUGAAAGCCAAGCGACCUUCGGGAGUCUGUACAGGUGCUGCAUGGCUGUCGUCAGCUCGUGCCGUGAGGUGUUCGGUUAAGUCCGAAAACGAGCGCAACCCCUAGUGCCAGUUACAAGUGUCUGGCGCGACUGCCCGGGGGAACUGGGAGGAAGGUGGGGAUGACGUCAAGUCAGCAUGGCCUUUAUGUCUAGGGCUACACACACGCUACAAUGGUCGGUACAAUAGGCAGCCAAGCCGCGAGGCGGAGCGAAUCCAAGAAAGCCGAUCACAGUUCGGAUUGCAGGCUGCAACUCGCCUGCAUGAAGUCGGAGUUGCUAGUAAACGCGGGUCAGCUACACCGCGUUGAAUACGUUCCC
rnacentral:rRNA from 1 species